rnacentral:rRNA from 1 species
UAGGGAAUCUUCCACAAUGGACGCAAGUCUGAUGGAGCAACGCCGCGUGAGUGAAGAAGGUUUUCGGAUCGUAAAGCUCUGUUGUUGGUGAAGAAGGAUAGAGGCAGUAACUGGUCUUUAUUUGACGGUAAUCAACCAGAAAGUCACGGCUAACUACGUGCCAGCAGCCGCGGUAAUACGUAGGUGGCAAGCGUUGUCCGGAUUUAUUGGGCGUAAAGCGAGCGCAGGCGGAAUGAUAAGUCUGAUGUGAAAGCCCACGGCUCAACCGUGGAACUGCAUCGGAAACUGUCAUUCUUGAGUGCAGAAGAGGAGAGUGGAACUCCAUGUGUAGCGGUGGAAUGCGUAGAUAUAUGGAAGAACACCAGUGGCGAAAGGCGGCUCUCUGGUCUGCAAACUGACGCUGAGGCUCGAAAAGCAUGGGUAGCGAACAGGAUUAGAUACCCUGGUAGUCCAUGCCGUAAAACGAUGAGCGCUAGGUGUUGGGGACUUUCCGGUUCUCAGUGCCGCAGCAAAACGCAUU